CGCUAGCUACAGGCUUAACACAUGCAAGUCGAGGGGCAGCAUGGUCUUAGCUUGCUAAGGCCGAUGGCGACCGGCGCACGGGUGAGUAACACGUAUCCAACCUGCCGUCUACUCUUGGACAGCCUUCUGAAAGGAAGAUUAAUACAAGAUGGCAUCAUGAGUCCGCAUGUUCACAUGAUUAAAGGUAUUCCGGUAGACGAUGGGGAUGCGUUCCAUUAGAUAGUAGGCGGGGUAACGGCCCACCUAGUCUUCGAUGGAUAGGGGUUCUGAGAGGAAGGUCCCCCACAUUGGAACUGAGACACGGUCCAAACUCCUACGGGAGGCAGCAGUGAGGAAUAUUGGUCAAUGGGCGAGAGCCUGAACCAGCCAAGUAGCGUGAAGGAUGACUGCCCUAUGGGUUGUAAACUUCUUUUAUAAAGGAAUAAAGUCGGGUAUGGAUACCCGUUUGCAUGUACUUUAUGAAUAAGGAUCGGCUAACUCCGUGCCAGCAGCCGCGGUAAUACGGAGGAUCCGAGCGUUAUCCGGAUUUAUUGGGUUUAAAGGGAGCGUAGAUGGAUGUUUAAGUCAGUUGUGAAAGUUUGCGGCUCAACCGUAAAAUUGCAGUUGAUACUGGAUAUCUUGAGUGCAGUUGAGGCAGGCGGAAUUCGUGGUGUAGCGGUGAAAUGCUUAGAUAUCACGAAGAACUCCGAUUGCGAAGGCAGCCUGCUAAGCUGCAACUGACAUUGAGGCCCGAAAGUGUGGGUAUCAAACAGGAUUAGAUACCCUGGUAGUCCACACGGUAAACGAUGAAUACUCGCUGUUUGCGAUAUACUGCAAGCGGCCAAGCGAAAGCGUUAAGUAUUCCACCUGGGGAGUACGCCGGCAACGGUGAAACUCAAAGGAAUUGACGGGGGCCCGCACAAGCGGAGGAACAUGUGGUUUAAUUCGAUGAUACGCGAGGAACCUUACCCGGGCUUAAAUUGCAGAUGAAUUACGGUGAAAGCCGUAAGCCGCAAGGCAUCUGUGAAGGUGCUGCAUGGUUGUCGUCAGCUCGUGCCGUGAGGUGUCGGCUUAAGUGCCAUAACGAGCGCAACCCUUGUUGUCAGUUACUAACAGGUUCCGCUGAGGACUCUGACAAGACUGCCAUCGUAAGAUGUGAGGAAGGUGGGGAUGACGUCAAAUCAGCACGGCCCUUACGUCCGGGGCUACACACGUGUUACAAUGGGGGGUACAGAGGGCCGCUACCACGCGAGUGGAUGCCAAUCCCCAAAACCUCUCUCAGUUCGGACUGGAGUCUGCAACCCGACUCCACGAAGCUGGAUUCGCUAGUAAUCGCGCAUCAGCCACGGCGCGGUGAAUACGUUCCCGGGCCUUGUACACACCGCCCGUCAAGCCAUGGGAGCCGGGGGUACCUGAAGUGCGUAACCGCGAGGAGCGCCCUAGGGUAAAACUGGAG
rnacentral:rRNA from 1 species